GACUGUGUUCAGGAGUUGAAGAGGUUGUCGGCUCACUCACAGGGAGCGGCCAUAGCAUGUGUGAGGUAAAGCACCCAAGGCCGUGCGUAGGCGACUGAGAGGGAUCGUCACACUGAACUGAGACACGCCCUGACUCCUACGGAGGCAGCAGUAGGGAUUUUCGCAAUGACGAAGUCCGACGAAGCACGCCGCGUGAGUGAUGAAGGUUUUCGGAUCGUAAGCUCUGUUGUUAGGGAAGAACAAGUGCAAGAGUAGCUGCUUGCACCUUGACGGUACCUAACCAGAAAGCCACGGCUAACUACGUGCCAGCAGCCGCGGUAAUACGUAGGUGGCAAGCGUGUCCGGAAUUAUUGGGCGUAAAGGGCUCGCAGGCGGUUUCUUAAGUCUGAUGUGAAAGCCCCCGGGCUCAACCGGGGAGGGUCAUUGGAAACUGGGAAACUUGAGUGCAGAAGAGGAGAGUGGAAUUCCACGUGUAGCGGUGAAAUGCGUAGAGAUGUGGAGGAACACCAGUGGCGAAGGCGACUCUCUGGUCUGUAACUGACGCUGAGGAGCGAAAGCGUGGGGAGCGAACAGGAUUAGAUACCCUGGUAGUCCACGCCGUAAACGAUGAGUGCUAAGUGUUAGGGGGUUUCCGCCCCUUAGUGCUGCAGCUAACGCAUUAAGCACUCCGCCUGGGGAGUACGGUCGCAAGACUGAAACUCAAAGGAAUUGACGGGGGCCCGCACAAGCGGUGGAGCAUGUGGUUUAAUUCGAAGCAACGCGAAGAACCUUACCAGGUCUUGACAUCCUCUGACAACCCUAGAGAUAGGGCUUUCCCUUCGGGGACAGAGUGACAGGUGGUGCAUGGUUGUCGUCAGCUCGUGUCGUGAGAUGUUGGGUUAAGUCCCGCAACGAGCGCAACCCUUGAUCUUAGUUGCCAGCAUUCAGUUGGGCACUCUAAGGUGACUGCCGGUGACAAACCGGAGGAAGGUGGGGAUGACGUCAAAUCAUCAUGCCCCUUAUGACCUGGGCUACACACGUGCUACAAUGGACAGAACAAAGGGCUGCGAGACCGCAAGGUUUAGCCAAUCCCACAAAUCUGUUCUCAGUUCGGAUCGCAGUCUGCAACUCGACUGCGUGAAGCUGGAAUCGCUAGUAAUCGCGGAUCAGCAUGCCGCGGUGAAUACGUUCCCGGGCCUUGUACACACCGCCCGUCACACCGACGAGAGUUUGCAACACCCGAAGUCGGUGAGGUAACCUUUAUGGAGCCAGCCGCCUAGAGUGUCGCCCCCG
rnacentral:rRNA from 1 species